AUUGAACGCUGGCGGCAGGCUUAACACAUGCAAGUCGAGCGGGGGAGGUUGCUUCGGUAACUGACCUAGCGGCGGACGGGUGAGUAAUGCUUAGGAAUCUGCCUAUUAGUGGGGGACAACAUUCCGAAAGGGAUGCUAAUACCGCAUACGCCCUACGGGGGAAAGCAGGGGAUCUUCGGACCUUGCGCUAAUAGAUGAGCCUAAGUCGGAUUAGCUAGUUGGUGGGGUAAAGGCCUACCAAGGCGACGAUCUGUAGCGGGUCUGAGAGGAUGCUCCGCCACACUGGGACUGGGACACGGCCCAGACUCCUACGGGAGGCAGCAGUGGGGAAUAUUGGACAAUGGGCGGAAGCCUGAUGCAGCCAUGCCGCGUGUGUGAAGAAGGCCUUUUGGUUGUAAAGCACUUUAAGCGAGGAGGAGGCUCUUAAGGUUAAUACCCUUGAUGAGUGGACGUUACUCGCAGAAUAAGCACCGGCUAACUCUGUGCCAGCCGCCGCGGUAACAC
rnacentral:rRNA from 1 species